UGAAAACCACACGUACAGAGGACAAACCCCUGGGGGGUAAGGGAGAGGCAGGGAGCCUGCAUUUAGACUUCCUCUCAGCUUGCAAGAUGCAUCACACAUGAAGAGGGCUUGGGGCUACCUGUAUACAGAUAAAGAGAAAAAUUUGCUUCAUGUGGAUACUCCAUGGAUUAAGGAGCAAGCCUCCAAGAGAUCUCACAGUGUCUCUCCACGGAGAAGGAGUGGUCUCCCGAGUGUGUGCAUUCAGUGGGGUCGCACCCCGGAAUCCUGCAUAGAGCCUGUCUGGUCGGCUACCUUCUCCAAAGACUAG
rnacentral:lncRNA from 1 species